rnacentral:rRNA from 1 species
UACGGAGGGGGCUAGCGUUGUUCGGAUUUACUGGGCGUAAAGCGUACGUAGGCGGAUAUUUAAGUCAGGGGUGAAAUCCCGAGGCUCAACCUCGGAACUGCCUUUGAUACUGGGUAUCUUGAGUCCGGGAGAGGUGAGUGGAACUCCUAGUGUAGAGGUGAAAUUCGUAGAUAUUAGGAAGAACACCAGUGGCGAAGGCGGCUCACUGGCCCGGAACUGACGCUGAAGUACGAAAGCGUGGGGAGCAAACAGG